AGUGAACGCUGGCGGUAGGCCUAACACAUGCAAGUCGAACGGCAGCACAGUAAGAGCUUGCUCUUACGGGUGGCGAGUGGCGGACGGGUGAGGAAUACAUCGGAAUCUACUUUUUCGUGGGGGAUAACGUAGGGAAACUUACGCUAAUACCGCAUACGACCUACGGGUGAAAGCAGGGGAUCUUCGGACCUUGCGCGAUUGAUUGAGCCGAUGUCGGAUUAGCUAGUUGGCGGGGUAAAGGCUCACCAAGGCGACGAUCCGUAGCUGGUCUGAGAGGAUGAUCAGCCACACUGGAACUGAGACACGGUCCAGACUCCUACGGGAGGCAGCAGUGGGGAAUAUUGGACAAUGGGCGCAAGCCUGAUCCAGCCAUACCGCGUGGGUGAAGAAGGCCUUCGGGUUGUAAAGCCCUUUUGUUGGGAAAGAAAAGCAGCAGGUUAAUACCCCGCUGUUCUGACGGUACCCAAAGAAUAAGCACCGGCUAACUUCGUG
rnacentral:rRNA from 1 species